CGUGGGUAACCUGCCCAAGAGAUCGGGAUAACACCUGGAAACAGAUGCUAAUACCGGAUAACAACAGAUGAUGCCUAUCAACUGUUUAAAAGAUGGUUAUGCUAUCACUCUUGGAUGGACCUGCGGUGCAUUAGCUAGUUGGUAGGGUAACGGCCUACCAAGGCGAUGAUGCAUAGCCGAGUUGAGAGACUGAUCGGCCACAUUGGGACUGAGACACGGCCCAAACUCCUACGGGAGGCAGCAGGG
rnacentral:rRNA from 1 species